rnacentral:tRNA from 3 species
GGGGUGUUAGCUCAGUUGGUUAGAGCGCCGGCCUGUCACGUCGGAGGUCGAGGGUUCAAGUCCCUUACAUCCCGCCA